rnacentral:lncRNA from 1 species
GAGGCGACGGUACAUUAGGACGCAGGCGCGGCUCACACCGCUCCAGUUGCCGGCGCAGGUCCUGUGACGUCACGCGCCGGCGAAGGUGGUCCACGACCGCCGGCCUCGGCUGCUCUCAGGCUGAUUCGGCGUCGGCCGGUCGCCCUCCCGCGCCGGCUGCAGUACGAGCCCAGGAGAGCACCGUCGGCCUCCCCACGCGUUGCGUUGCGUUGCGUUGCGUUCACUUCCGUGUCGCAGAUUUCCGGUUACCGCCAUCUUCCUCGCGCGGAAGCCGGCUUCUAGGUGGGAGCUCCGUAGCGAGAGCAGUGGGUAGUUCGGUCGGUGCCAUGCCGUCAUCGCCGCUGCGGGUGGCGGUGGUGUGCUCGAGUAACCAGAAUCGGAGCAUGGAAGCACACAACAUCCUCAGGUAGUGCAAGCUCCACCUGCCCUCCGCCCCUCCCUCCUCUUUCCCACAGAUUCUUGUCCAGACCCCGACCCUGUACUGACUGGGCCGCGGAGGUCGGGCCACGCCCGGCUUCCACGCUCAGCGAGCCCUCAGUGGGGUCCGUGCGCGCGACACCCUCGGUAGUGUAGGCAUCCCCGUAAACCCUAGAGGUGGCCACACGACAGCUGGGGCCCUCUGGGUGCUGGACGACCGGGCAGUAUCACGGGGUAGGCCAAGGUCUUUCCGUGCUGCGAAGGGUGCCUGGUGUUUAUCUUUCCCGUAUAUGUGUCGUCCGGCCACCUUGGAAAGCUCUCCACACGUCACAUCAAGAUGGAACGAGUCUGGAAGCAACAACAGUGAUCUGAGGUGUUAACGUCAGGGACUGUUUAUUGCUGUCUUCGUUUGCAAGUCUCAUGCACCAGCCACCACCCCUCUCAGCCCCAUAACUUUAGUCAGUAAUUUCUGGAGCACACGAAUUCAUUUGGUUCAGUGGGACCUCCUCAUAUUUCUUCACGAAUUCACCAGUUUCUAGUAGGGCAUUCAUCUUUGAUAGUAUUUUAUCUUAAAAAAAAAAAUCUCUUGACAAAAUGAGAAACUGAUGCAUUGUAUUACAGUUAAAAUGGGGGUUUGUACAUUUCAACUUAGUGCAGUAGAAAUGUCUUUUUUCCCCCAGAGUUAACUGUUUGUGAACUUUUAAAACUUUUUUAAAUAUUAUUUUUUGGCAAUUUCGGGUUUUUUUUGUUUUUUUUUUAACCCUCAAAACAGGGUCUCUGUGUAGUUCUGGCUGUCCUGGAACUCACUCUGUAUACCUGGUCGGUCUCAGACUCAGAGAAUUGCCUGCCUCUGUCUCGCAGCUACUGCAAUUAGAGGUGUGCUGCUGGUUUUGAACUCACUUUUCACCUGCCUCCCUUGUGUUGUUAUUACUAAUAGGAGUUUGCCACCAUACCAAGCACUGUCUUGUGUUUUCUUAGUCACCCAGAGUGUUAGUUGCCUAUUAUCUCAAAUUCUAAAGUUUCAUUCUUUGUAAUGCUUAGUACAUAGACCAGUAGUUCUCAACCUUCCUAAUGCUGCGACCAUUUAAUAUAGUCCUCAUUUUGCAGUGACCCCCCCCAACAAUAAAAUUAUUUUUGUUGCUACU